UUUUUUGUAACUCAAAGGUCUGCCUACAGGUGGAUUUUUGUUGUUGAAUGAAGUUAGGCACAGAGGUAAGAAAGAUAAGGAAAAUAACUUAGUUACUCUGAUAUUUGUUUUCUUUAUCUGUAGAAUGAAAAGAUUGGAAUUGUUGAGUUCUAAAUUCCCUUUAGCUGAAAUAUACUCUCAAUAUUUAUAAUAGGAUAGUAAUAUGGUACAAAUGGCUUUGAAGAUUGAUUUUAUUGUAUGAUGUGGAUGUAAUUGUAAGAGAGGAAAAUUGAUUGGAGGCUGUUAAAAGUCAUCCAGGUUUGAUAUAAUAAAAAUGUAAAAAUAUAGUGAUGACAGAAAGUCAGAAAUAUCUAGAUUGAAUUAGAUUGAUAAGGGGAAGAAGAGAGAGGAAUUUUUUAAACGAGUCACUUAUUCAUCCAACAAGUUAUUUAAUCUAAGUUUUAUUACACAUUAAAAAAUACUGCUCACCGAAUGAAUAUAAAGGUUGAAUGUAAUAAUGUAUAUAAAGCUCCCAACAGCGUGCCUAACGUAGUGAACAUACACGUUUUCAUUUUCUUUUGUUGCAUACAGUUUGCCAGACCAUAUGGUUUGCAUAUGGUGCCUCUCUUCUUUUAAGUAGGUUUUACUUAAGUAGGUUUUAUUUUAGUGCAAUGACAAAUCUGAAGACACUAAAAGACCGAUCAUUUGUUCUCUUUCAAAUGCAUGACCCAAACAAUAUUUAGAUAUUACCUACAUGAAUUUCCCACCCUCUGUCCAACUUCAGCCAGAAUGGUGGCCCAUAGCUGGCGUUGAUAGUAGUUUUAGUGAUCAAAGACAGGGUAGGGUGGGUAGACUGCAGAGCGAUAGCAAAGCCUAAAGUUGAGCCUUUGAAGGGGAAUUUCUAGUUUUUUCCUAAAAGAUUAUUCCAGUCCUCUUCAAGUACUCCUUUUGAGGCAGAGAUUACAAAUUGAUGAUGAAAUAUAAUCUCUGCCCAUGGUGAGAUACCAUUAGGAUUCUCCGUGUUAUUUGGGAAUACAAAGGUUGUGUGUCUCUGUAAACACAUACAUGAGACAUAGAUACAAAAGGGCCAAAGAGCAGAAUUCCCAAGCAAAGGGUCUUCCAGCAGAGAUUUUGCAUCUCUGCUGUGUUAUAUUUAAUUUUUUCCUCAAUACAUAUAUGUAACUAUUUCACCAGUACUGCUUGUGUCUUUGGUUGGCUCAUCAUUCUUAAGUUUAAACUAUAAUUUAUCUGUCCCUAGGUAAACUUUAAAGGGCAAUCAGAAGAGAAAUAUAUGUUGUAUUUUCUUUGUUAGAGGGUGUGCCUGUCUAGGACCAGCUAGUUUCUUUCUUUUACUUGAAUGUCUGCAGUUUGUGGAUCUUUUAGUUGUGUGAGCUGUCUAGAGUUGAUUGAGAGGAAAAAAAGCAACCCAGACUCUUCUGCUUGAGUCGUAAGUAGGUGGGAAGAAGGAUGGUAUAGUGUCUGAGAGCCUGGGCUCUGGCACCUUCAUACUUACUGUAUGUAGAGAUGAGGGUGUCCUUAGACUUGGUUGUAAGACCACCAUCUUAGGUUGAUAGCACCGGAGACCUUCUGAUCUCCUGAUUUUCUUUCCAGACCCAGAAUCAAGUUUGUAGCAUAUUUUUGUUAUUGAAGUGAGGAACCGUUUUUCCCCUUUUGAUCUUGUUCAUAAGCCAUGCUUAUAAUUCUAGAAUAUUUAUUAGGAUAUCCUUUAUGCAGUCCUGAAUUCAAGUGUCUUAGUAAGGUUUUUUAAGAGUUUUUUAUUUCUUUAUUUUGAGAGAGAGGGAGAGAGGGAGAGGGAGAGAGAGAGAGAGAGAAUGCGCAUGCAAGUGGGGGGGGGGGGAAGGGCACAGAGACAGAGGGAGAGAGAGAAUCCCAAGCAGGCUCUGUGCUGUUAGUGCAGAGCCCAAUGCGGGGCUUGAUUCCACAACUCUGGGAUCGCGACCUGAGCCAAAAUCGAGAGUUGGAUGCUUAACUGACUGAGCCAGCCAGGUAUCCCUGUUUUAGUAAGGUUUUAAAAAAUAUUAGCUAUCAUUAGUUUAAUCCCCUUAUGUGCUUAAAUUAUACUAAAAAUUAUAUUGUAACUUAAAAGGAAAACAUUUUAUUUAUUCACGGUAGGGGGAAAAUAGAAAUUAUUUUCUUUAAAGGUUUACAGUUCCUAUUUUUUCAGUUAUUUUUACUAUAUUAUCCCCAGAAUAUAUAUUCUUUGGUAGAAUCUGUGUCAGGGAGGGAGAUAAAAUUUUAUUCAAUCAUAGGCCAGAGAAAGCAGCUGAGGCAUACACCGAAAUAUGUAUCCAGAAAGGCAUAGGAGGUCUGGAAGAGGAGUAGGUAAGUAAAACUUUGAAAACAUCUAGAGAGAAUAAGAGAUUAAGAAUACUGGUGGAAUAGAAGCUAUUACCUAUUAUACUUAGAAAAUGGUUCUCUUGGGGCGCCUGGGUGGCUAAGUUAAGUGUCUGACUCUUGAUUUCAGCUCAGGCAUGAUCUCAUGGUUUGUGAGUUUGAGCCCCAUGUCAGGACCUCUCAGGAGCCUGUUUUGGAUUCUCUAUCUCGUUCUCUCUCUGUCCCUCCCCCAACUGCUCUCUCUCAAAAGUAAAAAAAUAUUUUUAAAAAAUGGUACUCUGUGCUUGAAUUUCUUUACCACAGUAAUUAGACCAUGGUCUGUGGAACGGUUAUGUAACUUAAAUUUAAAAAAGGUGUCAUAGUGCAUUUCAGAACAUCAAAUGAUAAAAGCAAAAUGGUCUCCUAAGAGCCAGUGGACAAAAAUUUUAAAUGUUUAUUAGUUUGUCAAUAGGACAUAGAGAUUUAAGUAAUCGGUACUUCCACCGAUUAAAGAAAGCUCUAUGUAUUUCAAACAGUGCAUGACUUCAGUACUUUUGUAUUUUGCUUGCUCAACCUAUGUUUAUCCCGUCCCUUAAAAUAUCUUUGUUUCAGAGUUUAUACUCCUGACAGGGAAAAAAAAAGAAAGAAAGAAACUUGUAUUUUAGGUGCUACUUUAUAAAAUCUGAAUUAUCAGUUCAGCUUCAGAAAAUCACACCUUAUAAUACAGUAUUAUGUAAUUUAUUUAUUUUUGAAUUUAUUAAGAAAAAGGAAAGGGGAAUGAAUUUUAUUGGGACUCACUUGGCAUGUUCAUGGACCAGUAAAUAAACCGGUAUAGCUAGAUCAGUGUUCUCAAGAGAGAAUUAUAGGAGAGGAAUUGGAAACAACGGGUAAGCCUCACUCUUUUGAGGGAUUUUGCUAUUAAGGAGAGCAGAGAAAUGAGGCAUUGGCUGGCUGUAAGUGAUCCUGAGAGAAGGUAUUUGUAUGUGAGAAAUUGCAGCAUGUUUGUAGUCUAAUCAGAAUGAUUUUGUAGAGGGAGGAGAUGAUGUUGUAGGAGAGAGGGAAAGAGUUGCUGGUGACAUAUCUUCAAGUGGGCACCUGGUAUGGGAUCGAGUAUGUUUAUGGAAAAACUGGCCAUUGGGUAGAGCUCAAGAGAGUGCAUCUGUAGUAACUGUAUGAAGCAUAGGGAAGAUGGGAUCAGAUAUUAGGGUAAUUUGAUCAAGAAAAACAAGGUGUAGGUAGAUACUCUUCAUUUUUGGAAAGGUUUAAUAAAAGCACAAAUAAUUAUCCUUUUAGCAUAGUGCAAAGGGAAUGAAAUUGGAGGGAGAUAAAAUUUGAGUACAGAUUCUAGCUCUGUGAUUUACUAGCCGACGUGAACUUAGUUACAACAUCCCGGUAUAUUCAGGGGUGCAGAAAUAGAAUUCAUGCCAGGGUGGUUCAAAUAAAAAGAUGUUAAUGAAGAAUCUACUUUGAGAGAAUGAGCAGGGUUAAAAGAAUGGACAAGGGAUGGUUCAUCAGCUAGAGACUAGCAACUAUGGAAAGCUGUUACCUGGGGCCGGAAGGACAGGGUGGAAAUGGGGUUUUCAGAAGGGAAGACCAUCUAGUAAGAGCUGUAGUAAAGGGGGGUUGGGGGGGGGACACAGUGGUAUGUAGGCAGCAGAAAAGAAAUGACUUUGAUUUCUCUUUCCUCUAAGACCCCAGUUCCCUGCUGGUGGCUCCCAGCCAAAGCAGAAACCAGCUGCAUGGGAGUUCAGCCUCCCCAGGGUCAAGGGAAGGGCAAAGAAGGAAUCUGGGAGGCAAAUGCCGAAGUAUUAGUAUGAUCACCAAGCCUCAACUUUUCCAUAUAGAAAAUGGGGUUACUUGCAAAAAAUUGUUGUGAUUUUACAUGGCUGCCAAGUGCCUGCCACAUUGUUAGGACAUAACAGCAUUUAGUAAAUGAUGAUAAUUCUAAGAUGACGUGGCAUUGUGGUUAAAAAUCCUUAAAGCUUUGGAGUUAGAGUUGAAUCUAGUUUCUGUCUCUGCCACUUACUAGUCAUGUGACUUUGGGCAGGUUACUUAACCUUUCUUAGUCUCUGUUGUAUCAUCUGUAACAUGGGGAAAAAAGGCUUACCACAGAGAAUUCUAGUAGAGAUUAAAGGAGACAAUAGGUAUUAAGUGCCUAACAUAGUGCUGGGAUAUAGCAUAUAGUCUAAGUUACCCUGAACAUAAUCAUAUUAUUUGAUUGCUUAGUAGGGGUAGUGAAUGAGAUUAGUUUUUAAUACUAGUCCUCCCACCACCUGCCCUACACACACACACACACACACACACACACCCCUUUUCCUGCUUCUCAGGUUUUCUGACCGGGGCCCUUCUUUGUCAUACAGGGGUCAAGGAUACUGUCUUUGCACGUUGGACUUAGUACAGUUUUAGUUAAACGCUUUGGCUAUCCAUUUAUGUUUUUGGCUUAUGUUCAGUAAACUCAAUCACAGAGUUAAAUGGGUUCUUUAUUGGGUCUGAGUUGGAAAGCAUAGAUACAGAAAAACUUGGGAAUACUGAAAUUCAGCCAAUUUCAUUAGGAUAGAUUUAUACACAAAGCGCAAGUAAAAUAUCACUAAGAAAUAAAAGAAUAAAAGGUAUUGUAACAGUUAAUUCACAGCUGUACCAUAAUACUUUUUAAAUUUCACGUAAGUACAACAGUAAUGUAAGUUUGACUUAAGGCACAUAUAUGUUUUUCUUUUUGGCUACAUAGGGAACAAUGAAAUAAAACCUCAUUGACGUAAUUGACCCUGAUAACAUCUCCUGGUUGUACUGCUGAUGUUUCACUGUGGUGUUGGUGGUUUUGCAGAGUUCUGUAAAGCAUGUUGGACUUACAAACAUAUUCAAACAGAAACUUUUAUCAGGAUUCAGUUUUUUAACCACAAAGUUGAAUUUAUAUGAAGGCAUAGUCUUGGGUUCCUUUUAUCAAAUCAACUAAAAACAUUUUUUAGUAGUAUACACCUCAUAUGUUACUUAAAUGCUGUUUUUUUUGAACAGAUUACUGCAGUAUGUGAAAAUAUAUAUCGAUUUCUGAUACUAUAUUAUAUUCGAGCUUAGAAGGAAACAGAUGAAUAUAAUAUUGGAAGCUCCUAAAACAGCACUUAAAAGUUCAUGCUUUCAUUAUUAAACAAUGUCUUAUAGUAGAACCAUAUUUUGAAAACCUACCAUACCCACUAUAACUUCUUUUUUUACUGUGCUUCAAAAUUUAGCUAAUUUAAAUUACUUAUUUUUAUAUUUAAAUUAUUUACAUGAUCUACUUUGGUAUUGGUACUAAAGUUUAGUGCCUAAAAUUUUGCUGACUUGGGAACAACAUAUAUACAGGACAUAUACUGAUACACUGUUUACUUGGAAGUAAGA